rnacentral:rRNA from 1 species
UGCWAAACUGGCGGCGUGCUUAACACAUGCAAGUUNAACGAUGAAGCCGGUGCUUGCACUGGUUGGAUAGUGGCGAACGGGUGAGUAAUACGUGAGUAACCUGCCUUUGACUCUGGGAUAAGCCUUGGAAACGAGGUCUAAUACCGGAURUGACACAGUUUCGCAUGAAAUCUGUGUGGAAAGGGUUUGUACUGGUUUUAGAUGGGCUCACGGCCUAUCAGCUUGUUGGUGGGGUAAUGGCUCACCAAGGCGACGACGGGUAGCCGGCCUGAGAGGGUGACCGGCCACACUGGGACUGAGACACGGCCCANACUCCUACGGGAGGCAGCAGUGGGGAAUAUUGCACAAUGGGCGCAAGCCUGAUGCAGCGACGCCGCGUGAGGGAUGACGGCCUUCGGGUUGUAAACCUCUUUCAGCAGGGGAGAAGCGAAAGUGACGGUACCUGCAGAAGAAGCGCCGGCUAACUACGUGCCAGCAGCCGMGGUAAUACGUAGGGCGCGAGCGUUGUCCGGAAUUAUUGGGCGUAAGGGGCUUGUAGGCGGUUUGUCACGUNUGCUGUGAAAGCCCGGGGGUUAACUCCGGGUUUGCAGUGGGUACGGGCUAAUUAGAGUGCAGUAGGGGAGACUGGAAUUCCUGGUGUAGCGGUGGAAUGCGCAGAUAUCAGGAGGAACACCGAUGGCGAAGGCAGGUCUCUGGKCUGUAACUGACGAUGAGAAGCGAAAGCAUGGGGAGCGAACAGGAUUAGAUACCUGGUAGUCCAUKCSGUAAACGUUGGGCAMUAGGUGUGGGGGACAUUCCACGUUUUCCGCGCCGUAGMUAANGCANUAAGUGCCCCGCCUGGGGAGUACGGCCGCAAGGCUAAAACUCAAAGAAAUUGACGGGGGCCCGCACAAGCGGCGGAGCAUGCGGAUUAAUUCGAUGCAACGCGAAGAACCUUACCAAGGCUUGACAUAUACUGGACUCCCCUAGAGAUAGGGUUUCCCUUCGGGGCUGGUAUACAGGUGGUGCAUGGUUGUCGUCAGCUCGUGUCGUGAGAUGUUGGGUUAAGUCCCGCAACGAGCGCAACCCUCGUUCUAUGUUGCCAGCACGUGAUGGUGGGGACUCAUAGGAGACUGCCGGGGUCAACUCGGAGGAAGGUGGGGAUGACGUCAAAUCAUCAUGCCCCUUAUGUCUUGGGCUUCACGCAUGCUACAAUGGCCGGUACAAAGGGUUGCGAUACUGUGAGGUUGAGCUAAUCCCAAAAAGCCGGUCUCAGUUCGGAUUGGGGUCUGCAACUCGACCCCAUGAAGUCGGAGUCGCUAGUAAUYGCAGAUCAGCAACGAUGCGGAAUACUCCCGC